GACGAACGCUGGCGGCGUGCUUAACACAUGCCAGUCGAACGGAAAGGCCCUGCUUUUGUGGGGUGCUCGAGUGGCGAACGGGUGAGUAACACGUGAGUAACCUGCCCUUGUCUUUGGGAUAACUUCAGGAAACUGGGGCUAAUAUCGGAUAGGAGCUCCUGCUGCAUGGUGGGGGUGGGAAAGUUUCGGCGGUUGGGGAUGGACUCGCGGCUUAUCAGCUUGUUGGUGGGGUAGUGGCUUACCCAGGCUUAGACCGGUAGCCGGCCUGGGAGGGUGACCGGCCACAUGGGGACUGAGAUACGGCCCAGACUCGUACGGGAGGCAGCAGGGGGGAAUAUUGCACAAUGGGCGGAAGCCUGAUGCAGCAACGCCGCGUGCGGGAUGACGGCCUUCGGGUUGUAAACCGCUUUCGCCUGUGACGAAGCGUGAGUGACGGUAAUGGGUAAAGAAGCACCGGCUAACUACGUG
rnacentral:rRNA from 1 species